GCCUGAGUAGCUCAGUGGUUGAGCGUCUGCCUUUGGCUCAGGUCAUGAUCCUGGAGUCCUGGGAUCAAGUCCCAAAUUGGGCU
rnacentral:tRNA from 1 species